rnacentral:rRNA from 1 species
UCCGUAGGCGGGCUAAUAAGUCAGGGGUGAAAUCCAACAGCUUAACUGUUGAACUGCCUUUGAUACUGUUAGUCUUGAAUUAUAUGGAAGUGGAUAGAAUGUGUAGUGUAGCGGUGAAAUGCUUAGAGAUUACACAGAAUACCGAUUGCGAAGGCAGUCUACUACGUAUAUAUUGACGCUAAUGGACGAAAGCGUGGGGAGCGAACAGGAUUAGAUACCCUGGUAGUCC